GAUGAAAAACGCAGCGAAAUGCGAUAAUUAAUGUGAAUUGCAGAAUUCCGUGAAUCAUCGAGUCUUUGAACGCACAUUGCGCCUCAUGGCAUUCCGUGAGGCAUGCCCAUCUCAGCGUUAGAAAAUAUUCUCAAAUUUUAGUUUUGUGCUAAAAUUUGGAUCAUGUCAAGGAAGCUAUUACUAUUAUUGUGAUCGCUCUUUGGAAAUUGAUAGGUCUUUGAGUUGCUACUCAUAGAACGUGAUGAAUCUUUCUUCGUUCUAUUGUAAUUCACUCUGGUAGUCCUAAAACUUGUAUGCCUGUGGCAUAUCUUGUAAUUUGACCUGAGAUUGGGUAGGGAUACCCGCUGAACUUAAGCAUAUCAAUAAGCGGAGGA
rnacentral:misc_RNA from 1 species